UAAUACGUAGGGAGCAAGCGUUGUCCGGAUUCACUGGGUGUAAAGGGUGCGCAGGCGGGUUGGCAAGUCAGAGGUGAAAUCUCACGGCUUAACCGUGAAACUGCCUUUGAUACUGCUGAUCUUGAGUUAGAGAGAGGUUGAUGGAAUUCCAGGUGUAGCGGUGAAAUGCGUAGAUAUCUGGAAGAACACCGGUGGCGAAGGCGGUCAACUGGCUCUACACUGACGCUCAGGCACGAAAGCGUGGGUAGCGAACAGGAUUAGAUACCCUGGUAGUCCACGCCCUAAACGAUGAAUACUUGGUGUUGGUCCGUAAGGAUCAGUGCCGUAGGUAACCUGAUAAGUAUUCCACCUGGGGAGUACGCUCGCAAGGGUG
rnacentral:rRNA from 1 species